rnacentral:rRNA from 1 species
AACGAACGCUGGCGGCGUGGUUUAGGCAUGCAAGUCGAGCGAGAAAGUCCUUCGGGACGAGUACAGCGGCGAAAGGGUAGAGUAAUAUAUAGGUAACCUACCUCUUGGACUCGGAUAAUUCCUGGAAACGGGUUGGUAAUACGAGAUCGUCCUAUUGGGUCGCAUGGCCCGACUGGUAAAUGGUAGCUCUGCUUCUGCCGAGAGAGGGGCCUAUAUCCUAUUAGCUAGUUGGUGAGGUAAUGGCUCACCAAGGCUUUGAUGGGUAGCCGGACUGAGAGGUUGGCCGGUCACACUGGGACUGAGACACUGCCCAGACUCCUACGGGAGGCUGCAGUCGAGAAUCUUCCGCAAUGGGCGAAAGCCUGACGGGGCGACGCCGCGUGAACGAAG